CGGCGUGCCUAACACAUGCAAGUCGAACGAGAAAUCCUGAGCAAUCGGGAGAGUAAAGUGGCGCACGGGUGAGUAACGCGUGGGUAAUCUACCCUGGAGUUAGGAAUAACACUUCGAAAGGGGUGCUAAUACCUAAUAAGAUCCUGAAAAUCACGGNUUUUUGAGAUUAAAGAUGGCUGAGGCUUGCAAGCUAUUGCUCCAGGAUGAGCCCGCGUACCAUUAGCUAGUUGGUAGGGUAACGGCCUACCAAGGCAACGAUGGUUAGCUGGUCUGAGAGGAUGACCAGCCACACUGGAACUGAGAUACGGUCCAGACUCCUACGGGAGGCAGCAGUGAGGAAUCUUGCGCAAUGGGGGCAACCCUGACGCAGCAACGCCGCGUGAGCGAUGAAGGCCUUCGGGUCGUAAAGCUCUGUCAGAUGGGAAGAAAAUUCCUGCGAUGAAUAAUCGCAGGAAUUGACGGUACCGUUAAAGGAAGCACCGGCUAACUCCGUGCCAGCAGCCGCGGUAAUACGGAGGGUGCAAGCGUUGUUCGGAAUUAUUGGGCGUAAAGAGCGUGUAGGCGGCCUUGUAAGUCAGAUGUGAAAUCCCUUGGCUUAACCAAGGAAGGGCAUUUGAAACUGCUUGGCUUGAGUACGGGAGGGGGAAGUGGAAUUCCCGGUGUAGAGGUGAAAUUCGUAGAUAUCGGGAGGAACACCAGUGGCGAAGGC
rnacentral:rRNA from 1 species